rnacentral:rRNA from 1 species
AGACGGGGGGUGCUAGCGUUGUUCGGAAUUACUGGGCGUGAAGGGCGCGUAGGCGGCUAUGCGAGUCGGGCGGGAAAUCCCGGGGCUCAACCCCGGAACGGCGCUCGAUACUGCGGGGCUGGAGACCGGAAGAGGAGGGUGGAAUUCCCAGUGUAGAGGUGAAAUUCGUAGAUAUUGGGAGGAACACCGGUGGCGAAAGCGGCUCUCUGGUCCGGUUCUGACGCUGAGGCGCGAAAGCGUGGGGAGCAAACAGGAUUAGAAACCCUAGUAGUCC